rnacentral:tRNA from 1 species
UAGCUCAGUUGGUAGAGCAUGGUGUUUGCAAUGCCAGGGUUGUGGGUUCCAUUCCCAC